rnacentral:RNase_P_RNA from 1 species
CGAGUCGACCGGGCGGCCGCGGCGGGGCCCUCCCGUCGAGGAAAGUCCGGACUCCACAGGGCAGGGUGGUUGCUAACGGCAACCAGGGGUGACCCUCGGGAAAGUGCCACAGAAAGCAGACCGCCCGGCCGAUUCGGCCGGGUAAGGGUGAAAGGGUGGUGUAAGAGACCACCAGCACCCCUGGUGACAGGGGUGGCUCGGUAAACCCCACCCGGAGCAAGGUCAAGAGGGCGCCUUCGGCGUCUGCGCAGGUGUUCGAGGGCGGCCCGUCCGAUACCUGCGGGUAGACCGCUUGAGUCUGUCGGUGACGGCAGGCCCAGAUGGAUGGUCGCCACGCGGAAGGUCGCCUUUCCGCGUACAGGAUCCGGCUUACAGGUCGACUCGUCCG